rnacentral:rRNA from 1 species
GUGCCAGCAGCCGCGGUAAUACGGAGGGUCCGAGCGUUAAUCGGAAUUACUGGGCGUAAAGCGUGCGCAGGCGGUUUGUUAAGCGAGAUGUGAAAGCCCCGGGCUCAACCUGGGAACUGCAUUUUGAACUGGCAAACUAGAGUCUUGUAGAGGGGGGUAGAAUUUCCAGGUGUAGCGGUGAAAUGCGUAGAGAUCUGGAGGAAUACCGGUGGCGAAGGCGGCCCCCUGGACAAAGACUGACGCUCAUGCACGAAAGCGUGGGGAGCAAACAGGAUUAGAUACCCUGGUAGUCC